rnacentral:rRNA from 1 species
GAUGAACGCUGGCGGCGUGCCUAAUACAUGCAAGUCGAGCGAACAGACGAGGAGCUUGCUCCUCUGACGUUAGCGGCGGACGGGUGAGUAACACGUGGAUAACCUACCUAUAAGACUGGGAUAACUUCGGGAAACCGGAGCUAAUACCGGAUAAUAUAUUGAACCGCAUGGUUCAAUAGUGAAAGACGGUUUUGCUGUCACUUAUAGAUGGAUCCGCGCCGCAUUAGCUAGUUGGUAAGGUAACGGCUUACCAAGGCAACGAUGCGUAGCCGACCUGAGAGGGUGACCGCCCACACUGGAACUGAACCCGGGUCCAGCCCCCGAGGGGGGGCAGCAGUAGGGAAUCUCCCGCAAUGGGCGAAGGCUUGACGGAACAACGCCGCGGGAGUGAUAAAGGUCUUCGUAUCGUAAAACUCUUUUAUUGGGGAAAAAAAAUUUUGUAAGAAACUAUGCCCGUCUUGAGGGUCCCUAAUAAGAAACCCACGGCAAACUACGUC